rnacentral:rRNA from 1 species
AGAUUGAACGCUGGCGGCAGGCCUAACACAUGCAAGUCGAGCGGCAGCACGGGUACUUGUACCUGGUGGCGAGCGGCGGACGGGUGAGUAAUGCCUAGGAAUCUGCCUGAUAGGUGGGGGAUAACGC